AGGGAUGGGCACAGGCAGCCCAGAUCGGAGGUGGGCGGAGGUCCGCAUUGGGCGAACUUGUUCUGGUCAUCGGGUCUGAGAGUCACAAGUGUUGACAAGAUUCAAGGCAGAGGAGCCGUUAAAAACAGUGUUUCCUGAGACUUAAAGGCCUCUUCCUGUGGGACCCUCUGGGAUGGAGGGGACAGAAUCCUUGAUGUGUCCCUGCGACACAUAAACUUUUCACGGUGCCCCUUGCGGACAGCAGCCUUGUGGUCCAGCCACCCUGAAUCUUCUUAGGAGCCAGUCAGGAUGGAAAGAGAAAGAGGAAAAAAACUACAAGUCUGAAGUCAGUAACUCACUCACUCAUACCCUAGCAUCAAAUUGUAAACUUUCUGCUGAGUCUUGAACUGAAGUUUUGGAUGGAAACAGCCUUAACCCAUUCAGUGCUGUGUGCCGGAGGGGUGGAAGCUGCCGAUUAAUCUCCUUCACCCUAAUGGGAAGUGUACUCCCUUCCCUUUCUGCAGCUCCUCUACUCAGAAAGCAAGCAGAAAAGCAAAAUUAAGUGAAUUCAGCCUGCUUGAAGCACAACUGCUCCCUCCUUGGAGAAGCCCACAGAGAGGGCUCAGAAGCAGCCGGUGAAUUCUGGACCUGCUGUGUGACCUUAGACGUGAAUUUAACCUUUCCGGUCUCUCCUCACGUGUAAAAUGGAGAUUAAGAAGAAUUUUUAUUAAUUAUUGUUACAAAUAUUAUAUGAUUUAUUAUUAUCAACCAAU